UACAGAGGUGGCAAGCGUUGUUCGGAAUUACUGGGCGUAAAGGGCGAGUAGGUGGCCAUCUAAGUCAGACGUGAAAUCCCCCGGCUUAACCUGGGAACUGCGUCUGAUACUGGACGGCUUGAGUAUGGGAGAGGAAUGUAGAAUUCCAGGUGUAGCGGUGAAAUGCGUAGAUAUCUGGAGGAAUACCGGUAGCGAAGGCGGCAUUCUGGACCAUUACUGACACUGAAUCGCGAAAGCUAGGGGAGCAAACGGG
rnacentral:rRNA from 1 species